rnacentral:rRNA from 1 species
UACGUAGGGGGCGAGCGUUGUCCGGAUUUAUUGGGCGUAAAGAGCGUGUAGGCGGCCAGGUAGGUCAGCUGUGAAAACUCGAGGCUCAACCUCGAGAUGUCGGCUGAAACCAUCUGGCUAGAGUCCGGAAGAGGAGAAUGGAAUUCUCGGUGUAGCGGUGAAAUGCGUAGAUAUCGAGAGGAACACCUGCGGCGAAGGCGGGUAGCUGGGCCGACACUGACGCUGAGGCGCGAAAGCCAGGGGAGCGAACGGG